AAAGUGCGAUAAGUAGUGUGAAUUGCAGGAUUUGUGAAUCAUCGAAUCUUUGAACGCAAGUGGCGCUCUGCAGUCGCGGAGCAUGUUUGUCUGAGGGUUGGCUGUGAUGUGUGGGGCGUAAGAUGUGGGAUGUAUUUCUUGUGUCUUUCCCCCCAAAGGCAUGUAAUUGGCGGAUGGAACGUGGAUGUUUCGUGUGUUGAAUGUGUGGGCGUGCGCAAGCACCUGCACGAGUGUGCAAGCCGCUGUCAUGGCGGCUUUCAUUGGCUCUGGUGUUUUACGACACUGGGCGACUUGUGUACCAUUGCAUUUACUCUACAAGACACCCCAAAAUAAAUCUAACCUCAGAUCAAGCAGGAGUACCCGCUGAACUUAA
rnacentral:misc_RNA from 1 species